CCUACGGGAGGCUGCAGUGGGGAAUAUUGAACAAUGGGGGGAACCCUGAUCCAGCCAUGCCGCGUGUGUGAAGAAGGCCCUCGGGUUGUAAAGCACUUUCAGUGAGGAAGAACGCCUGGUGGUUAAUACCCAUCAGGAAAGACAUCACUCACAGAAGAAGCACCGGCUAACUCCGUGCCAGCAGCCGCGGUAAUACGGAGGGUGCGAGCGUUAAUCGGAAUUACUGGGCGUAAAGCGCGCGUAGGUGGCUUGAUAAGCCGGUUGUGAAAGCCCCGGGCUCAACCUGGGAACGGCAUCCGGAACUGUCAAGCUAGAGUGCAGGAGAGGAAGGUAGAAUUCCCGGUGUAGCGGUGAAAUGCGUAGAGAUCGGGAGGAAUACCAGUGGCGAAGGCGGCCUUCUGGACUGACACUGACACUGAGGUGCGAAAGCGUGGGUAGCAAACAGGAUUAGAUACCCCUGUAGUC
rnacentral:rRNA from 1 species